rnacentral:lncRNA from 1 species
AACAAAUCAAAAUAGAGACUUGGCUUGUCACAUGAAUAUUAAAAAAAAUUAACCUAAGUUCAUUACAAUGGCAAACCUACUACAACCAUUUCACAACCUGUGGUUUCACGUUCCAUCCGCACUCAACCACCAUCUAUAGCCAUUAUUGACAGUAUAAUAAUAAUGAAAUUAAAAUAAGCAACACCAAGACAUAUAGUGAUUAGAAAAGCAGAACUUACUUUUGGAGCCAAUUUUAGAGAAUUUGCCAUCAACAAGGUGAGCGUCGAAAUAGGCCAAAUGAGCAGUCCGAGGAAUCACCCUUAAAAUCUCAGUCCGAUUAAAAGUGUAUACUGGAAAUCAUGAUUCCAACAACUUUAUUGUGCCUUUUUUAUACCUAUUACAUUAAUCGUCAAUAUAGAAUAAUUUUACAAAGUAACUCACACACUAAAAAAAUAAGAAGAACAUAAUAAUCAAAUCAAAAGCAGUCUCAUUUUUCUAUCGAGACAGCAAAGAAUAACAAAUGUUGGGAUUAAUUCGUGAGAUGAGUUUAAGAGUCAUUAACAUCGCAAAAUUUCAAUUUAUUUCGGCAUUUAACAAAUUAUGAUUUAUCAUUAUAUACCGUUCUCUUCUUAUCUUUCGCAAUUUCCCACUUCCCGUAUCAAACAAUCAAAUGGGUUGUUAAAGGAAUUAAUAACAAUCAUAUUCUUAUUUGCAAUUACAAAUAACGCAAACACAUACAUAAUGAGUUAUUUGAUACUAUUAAUCUGUUUCUCAAAAAAAAAAAAAAAAAAAAGAACAAAAAACCCAGCGAUGAAGGGCUAGAGAUUUGAUGAUUUGAAAUCGAUCACCAUAAAUAGUGAAAGCAAAGAUGGAAGUACCUUCGGCUUUCUUCUUCGCUGUCGUGAUUCGAAGGAAACAGAUCGAUGCAUUUUUCUUCUUCGCGGCGUUCUUCUUCUUUG